CCUACGGGAGGCAGCAGUAAGGAAUAUUGGGCAAUGGAGGCAACUCUGACCCAGCCAUGCCGCGUGAAGGAUGAAGGCCCUAUGGGUUGUAAACUUCUUUUGUACGGGAAUAAACCUGGUUACGUGUAACCAGUUGAAUGUACCGUAAGAAUAAGCACCGGCUAACUCCGUGCCAGCAGCCGCGGUAAUACGGAGGGUGCAAGCGUUAUCCGGAUUUAUUGGGUUUAAAGGGAGCGUAGGCGGGAUUGUAAGUCAGUGGUGAAAGCCCGUAGCUCAACUACGGAACUGCCAUUGAUACUGCAGACCUAGAGUACACUUGAAGUGGGCGGAAUGUGUCAUGUAGCGGUGAAAUGCUUAGAUAUGACACAGAACACCAAUUGCGAAGGCAGCUCACUAAAUUGUAACUGACGCUGAGGCUCGAUAGCGUGGGGAUCAAACAGGAUUAGAUACCCUGGUAGUCCACGACGUAACGAUAGAUACUACGUAUGUUGGUCGAUACUACUGUCACGCGUC
rnacentral:rRNA from 1 species